rnacentral:rRNA from 1 species
CGGGACGGGUGAGUAACGCGUGGGUAACCUGCCUUAUACAGGGGAUAACAGUCAGAAAUGGCUGCUAAUACCGCAUAAGCGCACAGAGCUACAUGGCUCAGUGCGAAAAACUCCGGUGGUAUAAGAUGGACCCGCGUUGGAUUAGCUAGUUGGUGGGGUAACGGCCCACCAAGGCGACGAUCCAUAGCCGGCCUGAGAGGGUGAACGGCCACAUUGGGACUGAGACACGGCCCAG